GUUCAAGGUUUCCCCGUUCCCCUCUCCCCCCUCUCUGUUUGGUUCUUUCUGGUAGUCGUCGAUGUGGUUUCCCACCCAUGCCUCUCUGUUUGCUCUGCUUUGUUGUGGAUGCAGGGAAGGAGAGGUCUCGGCGAGGGCACCAUGGCGGAUGGUCUGGAGCUCGGCGUCAUCUCUACGGGAGGACUGGCUUGUGGAAGUCAUGCAUGAUGCAUCUGGUUAGACCUUUCAUCCUGUAAGGCCCUCCUUAUUAUUCCAUCACUAAUUCCUGGGCCUACCAAAAUCAUUAAUUGACCGUUCUCUGUUUCCAUCUAAUUCUGGAAACGAUUGCCUAAAGCAAAUCUACUAUAUGAGCUCAAAUCCCAGCUUGGGCCCCAAUUAAUUUUGAUUUUGAGUAUCCAUGUUGUACACUGAUGUUAAUUAAUUUGUUCAGGUCGUUUCGAAACUGUUUACAUCACCUUUAGAUUAUAGCCAUUAUUUAGUAACUACCCCGAUUGUGCCAUUGAAUUGUGUACUGGAAUUUGUGCCGUAUAGGUGGACAUACUGUAAGACAACACACCAACACGCUCGUUCUAACAUAAUAUUGUUUUAUGGCCCACAUAUCAUGUUUCAUUUUCCUCUCCUACAUUACUAUGCUACUGUACGCUAUUUCAAUGACCAGAUUGUUCUAGGUCUUAGCAAAAGCAGAGCCUAACGUUGAAGAAUUGUUUGUGUCCUUCGAUCUUCCAGGCUUUCAAAAUGAUUGGUUUAUGUACUAAUUCAGGAUUUUGCCAUGCAUUUACUAGCAGAUUUCUCAUGUUGGGCGAUGGAAUAAGGAUAUGCACAUUUUAGAAGUUCUGUCGGAGUAAGCAUCAACUGAUUGUGAUGACAAAUAGAGCUGAAAAUACGUACAUGCUGCAUAAACAUGGAGUCAGGCUGAUGUUUGUGUGAAAAUAGAUGACAACCGCAGUUUAGAAUCUUCAUAAACACUUAAUAUAGACCUUCCUGGUGAUGUGUUUCCACUGUUUACAUGAACAGGUUUUAGAAGCAGAGAUCAUUGCCACUUUAACUUAAAAGAACUUAUGCAGACAAUUCAUUUGUUUCUUAUAAAUUAUGCUCUUUAUUUGUAAUGUCUGACUCCCUCUCUAAAUUAAUGUUUCUGUCUAAAUCUAUGUAUAUGUGUGCAGACUUGGGCAGAAUUCGAUGAGAAAGAAUUAUAUUGAAGAGUAAUGCAUGCUUCCGUCCUUUAUGGUAGUCGCUUCAGUUUGACCAGACACCUGGCAUGGUGCUUUCUUCCAUAUAUUGUUCUCUCGAAAAAUUUCCUUGUGUAUAGUAUAUUGGAUUCGAUGAUUAUUAUUUUGCCUUCACAGGAUGCUUCAGAAGAUUUUGUUCUUCUUUUAAGGUCGGGAUGACUUUCCAUGCUGUUAUAUACCAUAUAAGAGCUCUCUGGCAGAGAUUACUAUGUUUCACUCCGAAGAAUACAAGAAAAUGGAAGGUACCCAACCUUAGUGCAAGCGUUGUGAACAUAUAUCUGGUCCUCUUGAUUGGACUAUUGGCAGCCUUUUAUUUUGCACAAACUGUUCAUAUAUAUGCAUCUGUUUUUGUAACUACAAAAUGUUGUAAGUGUACUCCAGCGAUGUAUAUAUAUAUUUAUUUACUUUAAGAACAACCUUUCCAUAAAGGAGGUCAUACGCUCCAUACUGACAACACUCGCAAGUAUUUCAACCAUUUAGUAUUUGCGUGUGAGGGAGUAUCCAUGAUUGGAUUGGCAGAGAUCCCCACUUUCGAACCUUUUCCCAUUCAAACUUCAUAUCUCUAGAGCUCCAAUGAAAUUU
rnacentral:lncRNA from 1 species